GUCUAUGGCCAUACCACCUUGAAUGUGCCCAAUCUCAUCUGAUCUCGGAAGCUAGGCAGGUUCGGGCCUGGUUAGGACUUGGAUCGGAGAAAGCGUCACAUAAAACACAUGGACA
rnacentral:rRNA from 1 species